ACUCGCUGAGUAAUGCUAGAUUACUCACUUCUCAAUCGUUGUUGUUUUCAGGUGACCAGUAGUGAGCUUGCAGAAAGCGCGGGAGGCUAGGCUGGCUGGUGUAGAUUUGCAACUUUUUGCUUAAGACGCUUUCAGACUAUAAGUAUGUACUUUCGCUUUCUUGGCAUGCCACCACUUGUAUAAUAUUUUGUGUACCAGAUAUUAUAUAAGAUAAAUAAAGCGAAUGUUUUGUGAAACUGCC
rnacentral:lncRNA from 1 species